rnacentral:rRNA from 1 species
UACGUAGGGUGCGAGCGUUGUCCGGAAUUAUUGGGCGUAAAGAGCUCGUAGGCGGUCUGUCGCGUCGAUCGUGAAAACUUGGGGCUUAACCCUGAGCUUGCGGUCGAUACGGGCAUGACUGGAGUUCGGCAGGGGAGACUGGAAUCCUGGUGUAGCGGUGAAAUGCGCAGAUAUCAGGAGGAACACCGGUGGCGAAGGCGGGUCUCGUGGGCCGAUACUGACGCUGAGGAGCGAAAGCGUGGGGAGCGAACAGG